ACUGAACAGUUUUUGGUUUAGAUUCUCCUGAUCCUGAUACUCCUCCAAUUAAAACAACCUAUUUCUAAUAGACCCGUGCAAACUCACGAUUUAUUCACCGAGGUUAUUUUUUAUGAUUAUUAUAGAUUACAUCAACGAGAAUAGGUCACUGAAAAAAAAACCUAAAAGUUCAGUAGUCAUCCGAUAGGCGAUAAACUGUAGAUCCCCCGACACUUUCUAUUACAUGCUAACAGUAUUGAUGUUAUUGCACCGCCCCGACGGUUAUCUGAAGUUAUCUGAUGACAAAAAAAUUAGAGCUUAAAAUAGCUUUUACAAAAUUGCUUCUG